rnacentral:ncRNA from 1 species
GGGUACCGCUUCCAAUCUGGUGAUCGCGCUCGGUACAAGCGCGUAGCCUGA